UUUGACGUUAGCGACAGAAGAAGCACCGGCUAACUCCGUGCCAGCAGCCGCGGUAAUACGGAGGGUGCGAGCGUUAAUCGGAAUUACUGGGCGUAAAGCGCAUGCAGGUGGUUUGUUAAGUCAGAUGUGAAAGCCCGGGGCUCAACCUCGGAAUUGCAUUUGAAACUGGCAGACUAGAGUACUGUAGAGGGGGGUAGAAUUUCAGGUGUAGCGGUGAAAUGCGUAGAGAUCUGAAGGAAUACCGGUGGCGAAGGCGGCCCCCUGGACAGAUACUGACACUCAGAUGCGAAAGCGUGGGGAGCAAACAGGAUUAGAUACCCUGGUAGUCCACGCCGUAAACGAUGUCUACUUGGAGGUUGUGGCCUUGAGCCGUGGCUUUCGGAGCUAACGCGUUAAGUAGACCGCCUGGGGAGUACGGUCGCAAGAUUAAAACUCAAAUGAAUUGACGGGGGCCCGCACAAGCGGUGGAGCAUGUGGUUUAAUUCGAUGCAACGCGAAGAACCUUACCUACUCUUGACAUCCAGAGAACUUUCCAGAGAUGGAUUGGUGCCUUCGGGAACUCUGAGACAGGUGCUGCAUGGCUGUCGUCAGCUCGUGUUGUGAAAUGUUGGGUUAAGUCCCGCAACGAGCGCA
rnacentral:rRNA from 1 species